UACGAAGGGUGCAAGCGUUGUUCGGAUUUAUUGGGCGUAAAGGGCGUGUAGGCGGAAAGAUAAGUCAGGUGUGAAAUCUCGGAGCUUAACUCCGAAACUGCGCCUGAAACUAUCUAUCUAGAAUCUCGAAUGGGGUGGCGGAAUUUCGCAUGUAGGAGUAAAAUCCGUAGAGAUGCGAAGGAACACCAGAGGCGAAGGCGGCCACCUGGGAGAGUAUUGACGCUGAGGCGCGAAAGCGUGGGGAGCAAACAGG
rnacentral:rRNA from 1 species